AAAUGUAAAGAAGCGUAGAAAAAAAAAGAUGAAAGUUGAGACUGAAAAGUUACUAGAUCGAGUUGGAAUGAUGAAGGAUAUUUUUCGUAAAGGCGAUUGAAUCAAGGAUAACUUGAAAGAGACAAUUAGUAGAGGUCCAAGUGGAAGAAGGAGUGAAAGUGAUAUAUAAUAGAAGGCCACAAGAAAAAAAUUGAAGCUUUAAAAGUGAUUUUCUUAUAAGCCUAAUUUUAAGUUGAGGAGAUUUGAAAACGAGAACAAAAUCACGAGCCUCUAAGGCUUUUUUUUCUCUAUAUAAAACGGAGGAAAAACUAAAAACAAGAAAGAGCGGAAUAGUUAACAGGAAAAACAGACGAAACGGAAGACUAAAUAACGGAAAAGUGAGUCAAAUAAAAAGGCGUAACAAGGGAGAAAUUUCAGAGACACCGAUAACUGAAGAAUGGUUGAGCUCUGUAAGAUGGUGAAACUUUGGGUAUACAAAUAAAGUGAGGAAUACCAAUGAAUACGUGAAUAAUGCGACAAUGACAGGGGAGAAAUAAUGUUAUAACAUGAGCCAACAAAGACCGAUGGUGAAUGCAACUUAAUUCUGAAUGG